rnacentral:rRNA from 1 species
UACAGAGGGUGCAAGCGUUAAUCGGAAUUACUGGGCGUAAAGCGUGUGUAGGUGGUUUGCUAAGUCAGGUGUGAAAUCCCUGGGCUCAACCUAGGAAUUGCAUUUGAUACUGGCAGACUCGAGUGCGGUAGAGGAUGGUGGAAUUCCCGGUAUAGCGGUGAAAUGCGUAGAUAUCGGGAGGAACAUCAGUGGCGAAGGCGGCCAUCUGGACUGACACUGACACUGAGACACGAAAGCGUGGGGAGCAAACAGG